AGCUAGAUGGCUUAUAAAGAUUGGUCGUUUUAAAACUUAGGUGGACGGCUUUAGAAGCAAAUAGCUUCAACUUUUAUAUAAUAUUGAUUAGUUGUUUGUGA
rnacentral:sRNA from 1 species